UACGUAGGGUGCAAGCGUUGUCCGGAAUUAUUGGGCGUAAAGAGCUCGUAGGCGGUUCGUCGCGUCGGCUGUGAAAUCCCGAGGCUCAACCUCGGGCCUGCAGUCGAUACGGGCGGACUUGAGUGUUGCAGGGGAGACUGGAAUUCCUGGUGUAGCGGUGAAAUGCGCAGAUAUCAGGAGGAACACCGGUGGCGAAGGCGGGUCUCUGGGCAACUACUGACGCUGAGGAGCGAAAGAGUGGGGAGCGAACAGG
rnacentral:rRNA from 1 species